AGUUCUUGGGUAACCAGACCGCACAAUGCAAUCCCCCAAGAACAAUAAGGGUGCGUUGAAUGCGUUUUGAAAUACACCCGACCAGAAGAAUAUCUUUGUGGACGCACAAGGAAGCACUUUUGCACAAUCUCGAUGCAGUCAUCGAUAUCGGCGAUAUUUCCGAUUCGCUGCAAUAGCUUGACUGAUAAGCGAAGAAAAGUGGCUGUCCUGUCAUCGACAGCGGAAUACCCUCUUAUCGUGCAACGGCGCACGGGGCGUAUGAUUAAUAAAGUCCGGGUAAACAAAAGGUACAUACACGAAGGCAGAAGACGGGGGCGAGAGGCGGGGCCGAAAGCAGGGGACGCACCUUCGGAAAGUAAACGACAACUUGACCCAAAUUGCAGACUCGAAAACUCAGGAGAGUCAGCAGAGUGAGCAGAGUUAGCGGAGUGAGCACCAAGCAGAAGAGCGCCAAUGGGGGAAAAGUGGAGAAGGCGACUUCACAAAUCGCUGCAUUUAAAUAAACAAAACUACGAGCCGUGCUAAUUUUUAUGAAUUUCAUAACACAGUCUUAAUUUUAAUAAGACGUCGCUGCCUAUUACGUGAAAGCUCCGCGAUGCGUUGCGCUUCCACUGCGCAGUCACGCAUGCGCGCCAAAAACAGGCCCCAAUCCCCAAGCCCCCAAUCCCCCGAUCCACCAAGUAACUGCACUUCUGUGUUUUUUUUUGCUUUUCUGUAUUUCUAAGGCGCAAAGCGAGUCGAAGCCCAAACACAAAUCGGAGUGGGCAAGGCCCCAAAAUGGGGGUCGGGGGUUACGCAGCGGAGUGCCGGUGUGUGCGGGCGUGGUGUUGUUGCUUCUCGCUGCGGCUGUGCGGCUCUUCUCCCAAAAAAAGCAAAAGCGACGGAACCGAAAAUGAAAAUGAAAACGAAAGCGAGAGCCAAGGAAUAAUGAGCGCUGGCUGCGCUGCCGACGUCGCGCGCUGCUGGUGUCUGUGCUCGCUUGAGCUUGUGUGGGUGCCUUGGGGCUCCCUUUUGUGUGACGUCACGCGAUCGUGCGUUGCAUUGAGUUUUAUCAUGAAAUUCACUGCAUCAGCGCAUAACUAAUACUGGAUUCUAGGAUGGGGUCUUAAUUAAACAAUUAAUAUCUAAACUAAUAUCUAAACUAACUUAUGUGGAACAUGUAUAAAUGUAAUAAAUUCUAUAUAAAAAAUGU
ensembl:ncRNA lncRNA:CR44282 long non-coding RNA:CR44282